ACAAAGAUGGUGAUAGGUAAGGUCAAAAUAUAGAGAUAUGGCAAAAAACAUCUCAAAAAAAUAAUGUUCAAAAUUUAGAAAAUACAAUAAAAUAUAAUUUUGACUCUGAAAUCGUUAGUCUUAGAAUCAACAAAUAUAUAAAUGAAAAGUUAUUGAACUUAAAUAUGUUUUAUAUGAGAGGCUCACGUCACCACUAACAAAUACUAUUAUAUACACGACAACACAUUAUUGAAAAAACAAACACAAAAUAUAUUAACAUAUCACUUACUACUACAUAAUACAGUAAAAAUACAAAUAAUACUUUUAACAAAUAAAGACAGCUUCAUAAUUAUAUCAUCCAGAAAACUCAUACUUAUUAACAAUAAAACAAUAUUCCGCGCGAAGCGCGGACACCCCCUAGUUCAAAAUAAAUCUAUGUUGAUGUAUGUUUUAGCACAUGUCAUCAGUGUAUGUACUGAUCGGGACCGCGACCCUCUGUUGAUGUAUGAAUUGGCCGAUUUCCCUGUGUGAGGUCCCUCUCUUUUAACUCAUCUUCUCUUUGUAUCUCUUAUACCUCAUACUGAUUACUUUUGAUAUGGCUAAUACAAGGGUUUUUUUUCUCCGAUUUUAAAAGGGGUCAUUGAUUAUACAGAAAGAAAUCCAAACUAAAACGUUGGAGAUAAUGAGGUUGCUUGAGAAUGAUGAUCACAUUCGGUUGAUUGGAUUGAAGGAAAAAACAUCUUUCUAUCUUCAAAUCGGAAUUCGGUUAGAGCCAGCCAUUGUUGCUUCUUUGUGCUACUGAUAAGAUCGAAUUCUGCUCAUGAAACAUGUGUUUCUGUUUCUUAUUACGGAAAAUCUUCAGGACAAACUUGGGAUGAGUUAGCUUAGUUUCAUAUCUUCGCUCUAUAUUAAAAUAUGGAAAGUUGCAACGCUGGAGAUGCAGAUGAAUUUAAAUCAGGGGAAGCUAAAAUCAGAAAACAGAAACAUGAUUUUUCAAAGCUUGCUUUUGGAAAGAGUUGUGAGGUACCUUCUCUUGAAGCCAAAUUUGUGUGGUAUGAAUUCAAACGCAGAGUGGAUCGAAACUCAUAAAUGCAUCAUAGGAGAACAGUAGGAAGAGAUUCAAUCAACUAAGAAACUUGAGAAGCCCCAAGAACAUAAGCUCAUGGAGAAGCCAUUUCAGCGGGAACUGGUGAAAAUUCUAUCUCCAUAGCUUGAAACAAGUGAAAGAUUAGUAGUCACGUUAAAAAUGAUAUUGAUUAUGUUUGACCCUGUCAAAGAUUGUAUUUUUGCAAGACAUGUUAAGAAUUAUAUAUGGGCCAGUUUUUACAUGAGAAGUGCGUAUGGGAGGAUAAAGAAGAUGAAUGAUAUGGCUGGUAAUGCUUACCUUCGGUUCGGAUGAAGAAAGUAGGUUCAGAACUUACUUCAAGUUUAUGCACAGAUCUUAUUCAUGCUUACUCUGUUAGAGUGUUGAAGCUAAGAUGCAAA